GCUAAUAAUAAUAACAAUAAUAUAAAUACCAAACUUAUUUUACAUAUAUUAGAGUCUAAUCCCAGGUACGCGACCUUUAAACAUUCAUUACAUGAUAAUUAAUAGAUAUCAUUGUCUUAAUAAACUCUAACUAUUACACAAAAUACCAUAAAUCUUAUUUUGUUUGCUUUCCUUUUCCUUUGUUUCUGCAUGAACCUUCAGGUUGAUAACGAUUGGCUGAAAACAUUUAAAUUAAACAAGAAUGAGCAUUUGGGUGCCCAGCAAGUAAUAACAACAAUAAAUAUUAACUGCAAGGAUUAAAUGUUUUCUUUGGAUGACACUUCUACAACGAAUCAACAGUUGUGAAGUAAGUUGAAACACUAAUAACAAUAUAUCAAUUCUAUAUCAAAUUUUUAAAACUACUGACUAUAACUGGAGAUCAGUCGAUAGACUAUGAACAUGGUUUUCUAUUUUAGAAAAGGUUAAACAGAACUUCAUCUGUAAAUCGUCAUAACUUACAAGCACGGGGGGUGAUCAGCCCGUUAUGCCCUGUAUUGAUCAAUACUACAUGCAAGAACGAUAUUUAUCGUUCAUCUUAUCCGCCUUUGGCGCACAAAAGUUUCCCAUGUACGGGAUGUUCAUACUUAGUCGGGAAUCUGUACCAAAACAAUUUGGUUGAAUAACAAUAAAGUUCUAUCUUGUUCAAUAAUAUUUUUAAGUUUGUGUCUAGCCGGAUCAAAUAACUUAGACGACUUUUAAGUCAACGUAUACAUAUUGGAAAUCAAUAAGUAUGUAUCAUCAUGUAAUUAAAUACAAUGAUUAUCCAAGUGGGGACACUUGUAUAACCAUAUUUAGAAAUUAACGAACCGAAUAAAUAUCUAAAUUAUACAAUAAUACUGUAUUGAUAAACAAUGAUCGGAUAAUUUAAGAACUUGUAUGAAUACAAUCGAUUGGAUACAUAAUCGAUAACAAUAGAGUAAUAAUCUGGCACAAUGAUAAUAUAAUUCUGAAACUUUCUUACUCAUGUUCAUUGCAUAAAGUAAAUGCAAAGGUAGGAUACUUGCCUGGUCUGCUGCUUACAAUUAUGCAACUUAGUUUUAUCUUUUAGAUCAAGCCCUAUCAUUAAUAAAAUCAUUUAUUCGAUUAGAAUAAUAUAUCAUAUCACAUAGUACUCCUAUUUGUAGUCAGCACAUAACCUAAUCACAUUGUCACAUAAUUUUAAUAGUCAUUGAAUCACAAACAAACAUAUCCAGUCAAGUUAUCUAAGUCCAGAUCAAUUUCUGAAACAUGUCAGUGUACCGACGACUUUAUCGGGUAAUAACUGAGUCUAAAACAUUAUAUCGAAGUUCAAUAUAACUUAAACAUCGGUCACGUUAUUUUUUAAAUGAAUUAUUAUAAGUUAUCAUGAUUUUUCAAACACCGGAAUCAUUAUUAAAUAAAUAAUUCUAUUAUCAUUAAUAUUUAAUUAAUAUUAAACUAUUAAUAAAACUAUUGCCAAAAUAUUAAAGUUAUUUAUAUUAACUUAGAAUAUUUAUAAAACAUUUUUAUUACCCUUAAAUGAAUUUUAAAAUAUUUAAAAUCAUUUUUAAAUAAUUACCAUUAAUAUUUAAAUAUUAAUAUAUUAUUUAUCAAAAUAUUAAAAGUCAUUAAUUAUAACUUAAAAUAUUUUUAAUUCCUUUAUAUCCUUUUUAAAUGAUUUUUAAAUUAAUAAAACCAUUUUUAAACUAUUUAUUUAAUAUAAUUAUUAAAUAAAUCAAAUAUCAUUUAAUAUUAAAUUAUUGAUGAAAUUUACCUUUAAAUAUUAAAAGUUAUAUUUUAUAACUUAAAAUAUUUUUAAACUCAUUAUUUUCAUUUAAAAUGAUUUUUUUCUAAUAUUAAAAUCAUUUUAACCUAAUUUAUUUAAUAUAAUUAUUAAAUAAAUCUAAUUUUAUUAAUAUUAAAUAAUUAAUGAAAUUUUCUUUAAAAUAUUAAAAUUUAUAUUUUAUAACUUCAAAUAUUUUUAAAUACCUUAUUAUCAUUUAAAAUGAUUUUUAAUAUAAUAAAAUCAUUUUUAGUUAAUUUAUUUAAUGCAUUUAAUAAAUAAAUUAAAUAUCAAUAAUAUUCAAAUAAAUACUAAUAUUUACUAAAAAUAUGUCAAAUUAUUAAAAGUUAAUUUUUAUAACUUCAAAUAUAUUUUGUAAUUUUCAGAAAUUAUUUUCUAUUUUUAAUGCAUUUUUCGGAAAUUAAAAAACUAAAAUAAUUAAAUCGGUCGCUAAAGGCUUUAGCGACGGUUUCUAUCGCGGUUGGUGUUCUUGAGUUCAAGAACAUUGACAGACCAGUGUUCAAGGGGCCUUGUUUUACCAGAGUUAAUUCUCAGUCCAAAAUAUUUUUGAGAAAGCUUGAACCUUGAUCUUGUAGUGUUUAUGUAACACUACAAGUAUCAACAACAAUCUAGGUCAUAUCACACAACGAAGAUCUGGCCAUUCUAAAUCACUAUCAGACUCAAUCUGGGUUUUCUGGGUUACCCAGAAACCUAGACAGCUUCGACUAGGCACUUUCUAGCUCCAUUUUCUAUAUGUUCUGGUCAUUAGUUAAGUGGUUUCUUGGUCUAUAUAUACAUGUAGUACUCAUGUCAUAGAACAUAACUAUAGCAACAGAUCAGUCCAACAACAUUAACAUCACCAGAUUUAGCUCGGUCAAAGGCUGUCAGAAAACUUGUUCUUACGUUUUCUGGAAAUUCCAGAAAGUAGAAAAUGUUACCGGAUGGUCUACUUUGACCAUCCACUACAUCCGAUAUAUUUGUUGUUUAAGAGAUAUAAAGGCAUGAUUCUAGAGUCCAUAUUAUAGGCUACAAACUGUAUACAACAACAUCAACAAAAGGUUUAACAUAUGACAGAUCAAAGCUUUUAAAAAUCAUGUCAGACACUAAUUCACACUUUCUGGGUUACCCAAAAAGUUUUGGUCAUGCUCGGUCAACUCACUUUGACCAUGAAUAUCUUACAAUCUGGACAUGGAAUGACUGUGAUUCCACUUCCAGAUCAAAGACCUCAAAUCAAACUACAGAUCUAAAACAUAAAACAACAAAAAUCAUGAACAAAGAAGAAUCUAGGGCCAUUGACAUUUGCUUGUCAGACCAAUAUUAAUGUUCUUGAGCAAUUUUUGAAAAACAUCAUUUUAAAGCCUUUUGAUGCUAUGGAUCUAACACAUGAUUAAACACUUAAACACAAAAUUUAUCUUACUAUAUAAAAUCAAAUAGGGUUAGGGCUUUUAUACCUUUCUAAUCCAAUCUUUGAUCUAUGCUCUCCUUAACUGAUCUUGAUGUUUCUAGGGUUUAACGAGUGACUAAAACACUUAUGAAAUUAGGAGGUUUGGGAGAGAGAAAGAGUUGUUGAGAGCUUAAGAGAAAAAUGACCAAAUGAAUGAACUUUCUCUCUCUCAAAUCUAUAUAUAUAUAUAUAUAUAUAUAUAUAUAUAUAUAUAUAUAUAUAUAACUUAGAUGUAAUGAAAUGGCUGUUAAAUGGCUGAUGUGCUGGAGAUUUUAGAACAAGAGAAAGUCAAGAGUUAGCCACCAACUAAAGUUAUGGAAAAAUCUACAAGUUAUUUCAUAAAUAAUGCAAGAAGGGCAUUUAAGUCAUUUUACUUGUAAUUUUAAUGGCCAAAUUCUAAUCUUGACAAACCCUUAAGGUUUGACCCUUAGGGUUUAACCCUAAGGUUUUCCAAAAAUGGAUUUCUAGGUUUUCAUUUAGGGUUUGAAAAUAAAAAAUUAGUUUCCUAAAAAUGUAAUUUAGAGUUUCCUAAUUACAAUUAGUUUUCUAAUUACAUUAUACUUGAACAUUUAGGGUUUAAGAUCCAAUAAUUAGUAUUAGGGCUUACAAUUAACAAUUAGGGUUACCAAUUUAGCAAUUAGGGUUUCUAAUUUACGAUUAGAGUUUCCUAUAAUUAGGUUUUUCCUAAUUAGCAUUAAUAUUUAUAAUAAAUGUCAUUAAUCACAUAACAUAAUUACUAGACAGAAUUUAAAGUCUCAUUUGACUUCAAAAUUAGGGUUUAUCAGUAAUAUUAGGGUUUUGUAGGUUAUAUUAAAAUUGUUUCAAAUAUUAACCUUACACACAUAAUAUACAUAUUUAUAGUAAAGAAAUAAAAAUAAUAUUAUAUUAUUAUUCCCAUUCCUUAGUCAAAAUCCAGAAUUAGGGUUUGAAUUCCAUAUCUGAUUUAUCUUGCAUGAAUAGCACUAUCAAUUAAGUUAAAAUAAUUAAUUUAAUAAUCUGAACUAAAAUUCAUAUAAUAAAAUAAUUAUUCUAAUAAUUAUUUCAUAUAUUAUUUGAAUAAUAUAUAAUCAUAUUUUCAUAGAAAUAAAUAAUAAAAAAUAUUUCUACUACAAAAUUAAUUAUAACAAUAAAAUUUAUAAUGGUCAAUAAUUCUAAGAAAAUUAUUUGAAAUUAAUCAUGUAAUAAAUAAAUUUUAUUUAUCACAUAUAUACAUAUACUUUUACCUUAUACAUAUUCCCACCUUUAAAAUAAUAAUAAUAAAAAAUUUAUACGCCAAAUUUCUGAUUUAAUUAUAUAGAAAAUAUCGGGUUGUUACAUAUAGUGGGUAAAUACUUUGGUAAAAAAAACCAUAUGGAAAACACUUUGAUUUUGUUUUAAUACAGUUUUCCAUGGGAUGAAUCAUUAAUAAAGCACAAUUAAACUUGGUUUCAGAGAGGAUUAGUGCUAACAGAAUUAAAUCUUGAUAGGUCAUUUCUGACCUACCCCCAGUUCUAGGUACAAGAUUAGCAUAAACAAGCUUAUGAACAACACUAUUCAGAGGUGUUGUUUCAAAAAAAAAAAGUUUGCAAUAAAAUAAAUUCAGCAGUAGGACAGUCUUUGGCAACCCUUAAUAAGUGUUGCAAAAUAGACAAGUUUUCAAAUUCUAGUCGCCCCUUAAGAGUAAAACGUGAAAGGCCAAAACAGGGAAUAUCUAAUAAAACACUCAAUAAAGUAGAGUCGAUUAAAAUCAUUUUUUUUUUGGACAAAAGAGUGAAUCCUAUCAGAUGUAACAGACAUGUUGGCAUAAAAAUGUUUAAUCAACAUAGGAUAAGCAGAUUUGGGUGGAAAUAACAUAGUAGACAAACAAAGCAUCGACUCCAAUAUUGUGAAAAAGGACCGGGUCAACAGGUUUGCCAAACGCAAUAAGUUUAUUGAUCAUUAAUUUUUGGAAAUGAGUGGCAUACUUUGGAGAUCUAAAAGUAAAAGAUUUACCAUGAGUUUUAGAAACUUAAAGAGUAGAAUCAGAGAUUCUCACUGUGAUGGGUUUUUACCCUUUGAUGGCUGCUUUGAAGAAGCCCCAAAAUCGGAUGGAAUCUUUUGAAGAUUUCUGUUGAGAUGACGCUUCUCCCUUGGUGCCAUGAAUGAUUCCCUCUCUCGACGAAUUGUCUAUCGGCCUGUAAUGAAGGUGUGUCCUCGUGUCUUAGCCAUAGAUUUGGUGAUUAAAAACAAACAAAACCCAAGUUUUAUUUUUGUGGAAGAUCGAAUAGAUACGAAACAUAGAAUAAAAUUGAAUUGGCUUUUUAAACCCUUGUUUGUGUGUAACUGAUGGAUAGAAAAGAGAGUUGGGAUAGAAAAGGACACAGUGAGAGAUGUGCACGGUUGGGCUAGGGAGGGAGGAGGCCAUGUUUGGAUGUUUAAAGAAAAACUAGGGCUUCGAUUUUAAU
rnacentral:lncRNA from 1 species